rnacentral:tRNA from 1 species
UGGCUCAGUGGUUAAGAGCACUGACUGCUUUUCCAGAGGUCCUGGGUUCAAUUCCCAG